GACGUAGGGCGCGAGCGUUGUCCGGAUUUAUUGGGCGUAAAGAGCUCGUAGGCGGCUUGUCGCGUCGACUGUGAAAACCCGGGGCUCAACCCCGGGCCUGCAUUCGAUACGGGCAGACUAGAGUUCGGCAGGGGAGACUGGAAUUCCUGGUGUAGCGGUGAAAUGCGCAGAUAUCAGGAGGAACACCGGUGGCGAAGGCGGGUCUCUGGGCCGAUACUGACGCUGAGGAGCGAAAGCGUGGGGAGCGAACAGG
rnacentral:rRNA from 1 species